UACGUAGGGUGCGAGCGUUAAUCGGAAUUACUGGGCGUAAAGCGCACGUAGGCGGGUCGUUAAGUCAGGGGUGAAAUCCCAGAGCUCAACUCUGGAACUGCCUUUGAUACUGGCGACCUAGAGUCCGGAAGAGGUUAGUGGAAUUCCCAGUGUAGAGGUGAAAUUCGUAGAUAUUGGGAAGAACACCAGUGGCGAAGGCGGCUAACUGGUCCGGUACUGACGCUGAGGUGCGAAAGCGUGGGGAGCAAACAGG
rnacentral:rRNA from 1 species